AUGACAAAGGGAAUGUUAUCCUUUGGUAAGCGUCACAACAAGACACACACACUGUGCCUGCGGCUCCAAGGCCUACCACCUUCAGAAGUCGACUUGUGGCAAAUGUGGUUACCCUGCCAAGCGCAAGAGGAAGUAUAACUGGAGUGGCAAGGCUAAGAGACGAAACACUACCGGGCCUGGUCGGAUGAGGCACCUAAAGAUUGUCUACCGCAGAUUCAGACAUGGACUCCGUGAGGGGACAACACCGAAAGCCAAGAGGGCAGCUCUUGCAGCAUCCAGUUCAUCUUAA
rnacentral:lncRNA from 1 species